GCCCUUUGUACACACCGCCCGUCGCUACUACCGAUUGAAUGGCUCGGUGAGGCCUUCGGACUGGCCCAGGGAGGUCGGCAACGACCACCCAGGGCCGGAAAGUUGGUCAAACCCGGUCAUUUAGAGGAAGUAAAAGUCGUAACAAGGUCUCCGUAGGUGAACCUGCGGAGGGAUCAUUA
rnacentral:rRNA from 2 species